UACGGAGGGUGCUAGCGUUGUUCGGAUUCAUUGGGCGUAAAGGGUGCGUAGGCGGCGAGGUAAGUCUGGUGUGAAAUCCCGGGGCUCAACCCCGGAACUGCACUGGAUACUGCUUUGCUAGAGUACUGGAGAGGGAACUGGAAUUUACGGUGUAGCAGUGAAAUGCGUAGAUAUCGUAAGGAAGACCAGCGGCGAAGGCGAGUUCCUGGACAGUUACUGACGCUGAGGCACGAAAGCCAGGGGAGCAAACGGG
rnacentral:rRNA from 1 species